UCUAGGACUCAUGGUAUUCUGGAACUUUCAUUUUAGUUUUAUCAUUAUCCUAGAGUUGUAAAUAUCAAAGAGUCAGUGGCUGUGUGGGGUAGAGAAAAGUCUAAAGCCCUGCUUUGAUUUUUAGCUCCAAGUAGGACCAGCCGCCACUGAGAGUCUCCACCCCUGUGUGGGAGCCAAGGUCAAGAGGAGCAGUGACUAUGCAGGGACAGUCUCUGGGUCAUCCGUGGGAGGAGAGUCCCUUAAGAUUUUAAGGAGAUUUUCCUGAAACAGCACUGUUAAACAGAAAUUACAAUGUGAGCCACGUGUGUUUUAAACUGUCUAGUAGCCAUGUUGAAAGAGGCAAAAGAAAUGAAUUUUAUCAAUAUUUAAUCUAAUGUGUCCAACAUUUAUUAUUUUGACAGGUAAUCAAGGUAAAAAUCAUCAAGGAGCUGUUUUACUUUAUUUGGUUCUAAGUCUUUCAAAUGCACUGCAAUGUAUACUUUAUACACAACAUAUCAAUUCAGACACAAAAUUCUCAUAGGAAAUACUUGGUCUGUAUUAAGGUAUCUGAAGAUUACAGUUGAAAAAGCAGAUUCACACACCCUAAUUGUUCCAGACACACUUGAAAGUCUUCCAAAAUUUGACUCCAUUAUCAAGUUUUUAAUUUUAAGUGGAUUUAAAUGAAAAAUUAAGCGCCUCAACUGCACUAGUCACAUUUCACGUAUUUGUUCACCUUCUGUGCCUGGUGGCUACUGCACUGGACAGUUUUAGUGUAUGAUGGUCUCUCCAGAAGCUCCUUGUCCCUUGUGACACCCACAGAAAGCAAGACUGAAGGAACUUUCCUUUGUGUAGUUACACCAGUCUCACUUUUUCACUGAACCCAGCAGUCUGUGGGGAUCCCCUUUAGGCAAUUUGGUGCUGACUGCCUAUUUUUCCAACAGUGAUGCUAAGCCUCAGGAGGGCUGAAUUGUAUAAUUCCAGCUACCUGUGUUAGAGCCAGAGCUUCUGCUGGUACCCAGGCCAGUGCUCCUCCUCUUCCCCCAGGACUCCAUUUUGUGUCCUUCCAAACACCCAGUAGUGACCCAGGGGAGAUGAAGGAUGAGCUCUUCCCUCCCUCACUUGACUAGGCUUCGGCACUCUUCCCACCUAAGGUUGGUUGUCCUUAAAGAGACGUGGGACACCUGGAGGCAUUAAAAAAAAAAAGCACUGGCCUGUGCUGCUCCUCAGUUCUUUUGGCAGAGCCUUUCCUCUGGCAGAGCUGCACGUGUUCCAGGCACAAGCCAGUUUCCACUCCAUGGGUUUGGAGGUGUAGCUAGAGGGACAUUUUGUACUUAGGAAUUCAGCAGCUGCCCCAGCAACGUUUUCCAUUUUCUGCCCUGUAGUUGCCACUAGUCUGGCCUGGGCCCCAGUACCUUGCCUUCAGGAAUCAUCACAAGUGGGGGACAAGGCACUCAUUCAGUUCUAGCAAG
rnacentral:lncRNA from 1 species